rnacentral:rRNA from 1 species
CAGGCUGAAACUCGCCUGCACGAAGUUGGAAUUGCUAGUAAUCGCGGAUCAGCAUGCCGCGGUGAAUACGUUCCCGGGUCUUGUACACACCGCCCGUCACACCAUGGGAGCUGGUAACACCCGAAGUCAGUAGUCUAACCGCAAGGAGGACGCUGCCGAAGGUGGGAUUAGCGACUGGGGUGAAGUCGUAACAAGGUAGC